UCGGGAAUUUUGGGCAAUGGGCGAAAGCCUGACCCAGCAACGCCGCGUGAAGGAUGAAGUAUUUCGGUAUGUAAACUUCGAAAGAAUGGGAAGAAUAAAUGACGGUACCAUUUAUAAGCUCCGGCUAACUACGUGCCAGCAGCCGCGGUAAUACGUAGGGAGCAAGCGUUGUUCGGAUUUACUGGGCGUAAAGGGCGCGUAGGCGGCGCGGUAAGUCACUUGUGAAAUCUCUGAGCUUAACUCAGAACGGCCAAGUGAUACUGCAGUGCUAGAGUGUAGAAGGGGCAAUCGGAAUUCUUGGUGUAGCGGUGAAAUGCGUAGAUAUCAAGAGGAACACCAGUGGCGAAGGCGACUGACUGGACAAGUAUUGACGCUGAGGUACGAAAGCGUGGGGAGCAAACAGGAUUAGAUACCCCUGUAGUCCCUGAGCGGGCUGGCAAGGCGCAU
rnacentral:rRNA from 1 species